rnacentral:rRNA from 1 species
UAGAGUUUGAUCCUGGCUCAGGAUGAACGCUAGCGGCAGGCCUAAUACAUGCAAGUCGGACGGGAUCCAGGGGUAGCUUGCUACCCUCUGGUGAGAGCGGCGCACGGGUGCGCAACGCGUGAGCAACCUACCCAUAUCAGGGGGAUAGCCCGAAGAAAUUCGGAUUAACACCGCAUGACACCCCAUCCCGGCAUCGGGGCGGGGUCAAAUAUUCAUAGGAUAUGGAUGGGCUCGCGUGACAUUAGCUAGUUGGUGGGGUAACGGCCCACCAAGGCGACGAUGUCUAGGGGCUCUGAGAGGAGAAUCCCCCACACUGGUACUGAGACACGGACCAGACUCCUACGGGAGGCAGCAGUAAGGAAUAUUGGUCAAUGGGGGCAACCCUGAACCAGCCAUGCCGCGUGCAGGACGACUGCCCUAUGGGUUGUAAACUGCUUUUGCCAGGGAAUAAACCCGGUCACGUGUGGCCGGCUGAACGUACCUGGAGAAUAAGGAUCGGCUAACUCCGUGCCAGCAGCCGCGGUAAUACGGAGGAUCCGAGCGUUAUCCGGAUUUAUUGGGUUUAAAGGGUGCGUAGGCGGCACUUUAAGUCAGGGGUGAAAUACGGCAGCUCAACUGUCGCAGUGCCCUUGAUACUGAAGUGCUUGAAUGCGGUUGAAGACGGCGGAAUGAGACAAGUAGCGGUGAAAUGCAUAGAUAUGUCUCAGAACACCGAUUGCGAAGGCAGCUGUCUAAGCCGUUAUUGACGCUGAUGCACGAAAGCGUGGGGAUCGAACAGGAUUAGAUACCCUGGUAGUCCACGCCCUAAACGAUGAUGACUCGAUGUUUGCGAUAUACCGUAAGCGUCCAAGCGAAAGCGUUAAGUCAUCCACCUGGGGAGUACGCCCGCAAGGGUGAAACUCAAAGGAAUUGACGG